rnacentral:sRNA from 1 species
UAUUAAUUUAUAAUAUUGAUGGGACCAGAUAUUUACAUAGGAUUUUCAAAAAAGUUAUUAUCUUAUUCAUUUAUCGAUUUGUAUCAAUUUUUACACUAGUCUCAACUCAGAACCGGAAGAACUUAUUAAUUUAUAGAAGUUAUUAAUUUAUAGAGGUUUUACUUCAAUACACAAAAAAAA